rnacentral:misc_RNA from 1 species
GAUGAAGAACGUAGCGAAAUGCGAUAAGUAAUGUGAAUUGCAGAAUUCAGUGAAUCAUCGAAUCUUUGAACGCACAUUGCGCCCGCCAGUAUUCUGGCGGGCAUGCCUGUUCGAGCGUCAUUUCAACCCUCAAGCCCCCGGGCUUGGUGUUGGGGAUCGGCGUGCCCUCGCGGCGCGCCGUCCCCUAAAUCUAGUGGCGGUCUCGCUGUAGCUUCCUCUGCGUAGUAGCAACACUCGCACUGGAUCGCAGCGCGGCCACGCCGUUAAACCCCCCACUUCUGAAAGUUUGACCUCGGAUCAGGUAUGAAUACCCGCUGAACUUAAGCAUAUCAAUAAGCGGAGGA